CGAUGAGUGCUUAAGUGUUAGAGGGUUUCNNGCCCUNNAGUGCUGCAGCUAACGCANUAAGCACUCCGCNUGGGGAGUACGGCCGCAAGGCUGAAACUCAAAGGAAUUGACGGGGGCCCGCACAAGCGGUGGAGCAUGUGGUUUAAUUCGAAGCNACGCGAAGAACCUUACCAGGUCUUGACAUCCUCUGACAACCCUAGAGAUAGGGCUUUCCCCUUCGGGGGACAGAGUGACAGGUGGUGCAUGGUUGUCGUCAGCUCGUGUCGUGAGAUGUUGGGUUAAGUCCCGCAACGAGCGCAACCCUUGAUCUUAGUUGCCAGCAUUCAGUUGGGCACUCUAAGGUGACUGCCGGUGACAAACCGGAGGAAGGUGGGGAUGACGUCAAAUCAUCAUGCCCCUUAUGACCUGGGCUACACACGUGCUACAAUGGAUGGUACAAAGAGCCCGCAAACCCGCGAGGGUAAGCUAAUCUCAUAAAGCCAUUCUCAGUUCGGAUUGCAGGCUGCAACUCGCCUGCAUGAAGCCGGAAUCGCUAGUAAUCGCGGAUCAGCAUGCCGCGGUGAAUACGUUCCCGGGCCUUGUACACACCGCCCGUCACACCACGAGAGUUUGUAACACCCGAAGUCGGUGAGGGUAACCAAUUUUGGUAGCCAGCCGCCUCAAGGUGGGCACA
rnacentral:rRNA from 1 species